ACAUCUUGACUGGGGUCUUGUGGAAGCUGGUUGUCCGAGUCGUCCUUGGGGUCAUCCCUCGAGGAGUCAGAGGGCUACUCCUCUUCUUCAGAGGAUGAAGGCACAUCAUCCGGGGUAAGUGAAGAACAGUCGUGGGCUGUCCUAAGGUCGUAUUGUCUGAGCAAAACAACAAAUUACUUUCCGAGGACCAACAAAGUUUCCGAGGUUUGAACGCGUCGGCGGUCAGGAAGAAACUGAGCAACGGACACCUAACUGCCAGUAUAGGGAGGAGCCAUCGAAGGGUAAAUCCUCAACUCUGGAUCUGGCAUUGGGGGUGAGACCGGAAGAUCUGAGCCAGGCAUGGCGACGGAGGGCAACAGAAAUUGCCAUUACUUUGGCGGCCCCUCUCGAAUGGAGCAACUAGGUCCCAAAGAAAGGAUUGAUACUUGGCAUAGUAUGCCUGAUAAUUUGUGAUUCUAGUCAAUAAAGAAGCAA